rnacentral:lncRNA from 1 species
GCCGCCCGGCCCAAGGAAAGACAUAUCCAAAUACUUUCGGGAACCUGUUAACGAAUGAAAACAGCCCGGCCCAUCCCAGUAUACCUAAAAACCAGCAGUGUUUUUUUUCUUCUAAAAUAAAUAAAUAAAUUCGAGAGAGACGUCCAGAUAAUUUUAGAAAGAGCUAAAAAGACAAAUCAAAAUGGUAAUAUCAAAUUUCCAACGAAAGAAAUACAAGGGGAAUGCUAGAUUUUAUUGAAAAAUAAUGUUAAAAAAUUCUUAAUAUAUUGCACCAAUACUUGUACAAUAAUUUGAGCAGGAGGUCUCUAGUUCUACGGUCUCGAGCCUCGACUCCAUCGGGAAGCUUAUCAAGGUGACGGCGAGAGCCUGAACCUGGUUGUUUAUUUGGCUGGCUCUUCAUAGCCGAUUGUCUACUACGGCGAUCAACAUUCAAAAGGCAAUACAAGAUGUGGGUGGAGUUUUCGAAGUGCGUGGCUAGGCCUCCUAAGCUCUUUGAAAGAACCAGUUGGAAGUUGCUCUGGAAAUUUAGGUUUGGCAAGUUUCUGGGGUUCUGAUAACCUUGACCCUUGAGUUUAUGUAAAAAUCAUCAUCGAUCCGUCUACUUCUAAUAUUUAGUCAAAUGCACCCUCCAUGCCAUAGUUGACACAAAACGAGCCAUUUAGCAAUUAUAACAAAAGCUAAAAGAGCUAGGGUGUGUAUUCUUCCCAGCAAAACUACUAUUUUGUUAUUAAUCGGCAAAAUCAUUUAACUUUGUUUUACUGCUUCAAUACAAUAAUGAACAGGGUUUAAUAAAAAAUAAAUUAUAUUUAUUUUUUGUACGAUAUAAUUACUUUAUUAUCUUUAAUAUCGAAGAACACUAAACCUUGGUUAAGGAGCCCUUAACUUAAUUUUAAAAUAGUUAAAUUACAUCAUCGCCAUUGCAAUUAAAAAAAACUGGAAGUUUCUUAUAUCGUUUAUUCCUUUCUUCCCUCUUGGUUGUUUAUCGAAUCCAUUUCUGUUGGUUAUUCAUGGCAGGGACACUUCCUUUGCCUGGUGAGAUUAGAAUGGUUAUUGCUCUCCCAGCUGGGGGCGGAUCGGAUCGGAGUGUACUUUGGGAAUCCGAUGAAAUUAUGUUGUAUUUUAUAGAAGCAAAAAAGAAGGUGGAAUAUUAGCCAGGUUACUGAAGAAAGUCCUCAAAGAACCAGAACUACAUUAACAACAUGACGUGGAUGAUGAAAUAUGUAUUUUUUAUACUAAUAAUAUAUACAGCGCUAACAUUUUUUUUAUUUAAUAAAUUUUGUGUGUGAAUUUAUAUUACAAAUUAAUUUUAAUAAAUU